GCGGAUCUCUGAGAGAUGGUCGAGCGCCGUUCCGAAGGGACGGGCGAUGGCCUCCGUUGCCCUCGGCCGAUCGAAAGGGAGUCGGGUUCAGAUCCCCGAAUCCGGAGUGGCGGAGAUGGGCGCCGCGAGGCGUCCAGUGCGGUAACGCGACCGA